GUGAUCUUUUCAUGACCUCUAGAUGCAACCACAUCAACUUCAGGAUUUCUCUAGGGCAUUAUUGUUUCCAUGAAACAACCUGCCAUUGAAUUCCCUGCAAUUCCCAAUUUAGUGAAAAUCCCUACUAAUAAUCUCAACUUUCUCAAGUUGGACUUAUUGGCUGCAUAAAAUUGUGUUGGGAGUAGAAUUAAUUUUUUCUUUUUCUGACAAUGCAAAGUAAUUAUCAGACAAAGGCUACAUAUGUGCGUUAUUUCAAACAAAUAAUUAGAAACACAACCAGUAUAGUUGUAUAUAAAACAGUAUGAAGUUAAAAAAAU